AGGACUAACGCUGGCGGCGUGCCUAACACAUGCAAGUCGAACGGGGUAGCAAUACCCAGUGGCAGACGGGUGAGUAACACGUGGUCAACCUACCUCUAUGUGGGGGAUAACUAGCCGAAAGGUUAGCUAAUACCGCAUACGAUCGCUUUGGGGCAUCCCUAGGCGAUGAAAGGAGCAAUCCGCAUAGAGAGGGGACUGCGUCCCAUUAGUUAGUUGGUGGGGUAACGGCCUACCAAGACUCCGAUGGGUAGCUGGCUUGAGAGAGCGACCAGCCACACUGGAACUGAGACACGGUCCAGACUCCUAUGGGAGGCAGCAGUGAGGAAUUUUCCGCAAUGGGCGAAAGCCUGACGGAGCGACGCCGCGUGUGGGAAGAAGGCCUUCGGGUCGUAAACCACUGUCGAAGGGACGAUAAUGACGGUACCCUUGGAGGAAGCCCGGCUAACUACGCGCCAGCAGCCGC
rnacentral:rRNA from 1 species